rnacentral:rRNA from 1 species
AAGUCUUUGAUUCCCCGCUGCCAAGAAAAGCUUCUAGCGAGAUAAAAGGUGCCUGUACCGCAAACCGACACAGGUAGGCGAGGAGAGAAUCCUAAGGUGUGCGAGAGAACUCUGGUUAAGGAACUCGGCAAAAUGACCCCGUAACUUCGGGAGAAGGGGUGCUUUCUUAACGGAAAGCCGCAGUGAAUAGGCCCAAGCGACUGUUUAGCAAAAACACAGCUCUCUGCGAAGCCGUAAGGCGAAGUAUAGGGGGUGACACCUGCCCGGUGCUGGAAGGUUAAGGAGAGGGGUUAGCGUAAGCGAAGCUCUGAACUGAAGCCCCAGUAAACGGCGGCCGUAACUAUAACGGUCCUAAGGUAGCGAAAUUCCUUGUCGGGUAAGUUCCGACCCGCACGAAAGGUGUAACGAUUUGGGCACUGUCUCAACCAGAGACUCGGUGAAAUUAUAGUACCUGUGAAGAUGCAGGUUACCCGCGACAGGACGGAAAGACCCCGUGGAGCUUUACUGUAGCCUGAUAUUGAAUUUUGGUACAGUUUGUACAGGAUAGGCGGGAGCCAUUGAAACCGGAGCGCUAGCUUCGGUGGAGGCGCUGGUGGGAUACCGCCCUGACUGUAUUGAAAUUCUAACCUACGGGUCUUAUCGACCCGGGAGACAGUGUCAGGUGGGCAGUUUGACUGGGGCGGUCGCCUCCUAAAGUGUAACGGAGGCGCCCAAAGGUUCCCUCAGAAUGGUUGGAAAUCAUUCGUAGAGUGCAAAGGCAUAAGGGAGCUUGACUGCGAGACCUACAAGUCGAGCAGGGACGAAAGUCGGGCUUAGUGAUCCGGUGGUUCCGCAUGGAAGGGCCAUCGCUCAACGGAUAAAAGCUACCCCGGGGAUAACAGGCUUAUCUCCCCCAAGAGUCCACAUCGACGGGGAGGUUUGGCACCUCGAUGUCGGCUCAUCGCAUCCUGGGGCUGUAGUCGGUCCCAAGGGUUGGGCUGUUCGCCCAUUAAAGCGGUACGCGAGCUGGGUUCAGAACGUCGUGAGACAGUUCGGUCCCUAUCCGUCGUGGGCGUAGGAAAUUUGAGAGGAGCUGUCCUUAGUACGAGAGGACCGGGAUGGACGCACCGCUGGUGUACCAGUUGUUCUGCCAAGGGCAUAGCUGGGUAGCUAUGUGCGGAAGGGAUAAGUGCUGAAAGCAUCUAAGCAUGAAGCCCCCCUCAAGAUGAGAUUUCCCAUAGCGUAAGCUAGUAAGAUCCCUGAAAGAUGAUCAGGUUGAUAGGUUCGAGGUGGAAGCAUGGUGACAUGUGGAGCUGACGAAUACUAAUAGAUCGAGGACUUAACCAU